GGGGGUGUAGCUCAGUGGUAGAGCACAUGCCUCGCAUGUGCGAGGUCCCGGGUUCAUACCCCGGCUCCUCCA